CUCUUUUAGUUUACCAAUUUAUACCCAAUACAGGAGAAUGUGACUUUCCAAUUAACAAAACGUGAUAAUGUAGACUGUUUCCUUCAGGACCCAAUUUCCAUUAAGGUACAGAUGACCACUGCGAGCGCGACCUUUGGUCUCCACCGUAGAACCAGAAGAGGUACGCUUGUGGUGUAGAGGCUGCCACGUCGGUACCGGGCUCCCGCGGCUCGACUAGAGGGUUCCGAGGAGCGGCUGCGUACUGUUACGGGUGGAGGUACGACUAACUCGGAAACGUGAACAGGUUGUACUAGUUAAUAGACAAU
rnacentral:rRNA from 1 species